rnacentral:rRNA from 1 species
AGAGUUUGAUCAUGGCUCAGGAUGAACGCUGGCGGCGUGCUUAAUACAUGCAAGUCGAGCGCCCUUGACAGCGCACUUCUCAACUUCGUUUGAGACAGGUCCUGACAAAUUUUCGAAGAAAAUUUGUGAGAUCUAAAACGAAGGACUGAAGGUCUGGCAACAGAUCUCAAACUAAUCAGAAGGAGUGCGAUGUCAAGGGAGCGGCGGACGGCUGAGUAACGCGUAGGAACGUACCCCAGAGUGAGGAAUAAGCCCGGGAAACCGGGUCUAAUGCCGCAUAAUAUCUUCGGAUUAAAGCUUCGGCGCUUUGGGAGCGGCCUGCGUAUGAUUAGCUUGUUGGUGAGGUAAUGGCUCACCAAGGCGACGAUCAUUAGCUGGUCUGAGAGGAUGACCAGCCAGACUGGAACUGAGACACGGUCCAGACUCCUACGGGAGGCAGCAGUAGGGAAUUUUCCGCAAUGGGCGAAAGCCUGACGGAGCAACGCCGCGUGCAGGAGGAAGGCCUUCGGGUUGUAAACUGCUUUUAUUGGUGACGAUUUUGACGGUAGCCAAUGAAUAAGGACCUGCUAACUACGUGCCAGCAGCCGCGGUCAUACGUAGGGUCCAAGCGUUAUCCGGAAUUACUGGGCGUAAAGAGUUGCGUAGGUGGCAUAGUAAGCAGAUAGUGAAAGCGUGAGGCUCAACCUCAUACCCAUUAUCUGAACUGCUAAGCUUGAGUAUAAGAGAGGUAGCUGGAAUUUCUAGUGUAGGAGUGAAAUCCGUAGAUAUUAGAAGGAACACCGAUGGCGUAGGCAGGUUACUGGCUUAUUACUGACACUAAGGCACGAAAGCGUGGGGAGCGAACGGGAUUAGAUACCCUAGUAGUCC